CCUACGGGAGGCAGCAGUGAGGAAUAUUGGUCAAUGGGCGAGAGCCUGAACCAGCCAAGUCGCGUGAAGGAUGACGGCCCUACGGGUUGUAAACUUCUUUUGUCAGGGAGCAAUUGGGUCCACGCGUGGGCUUAGCGAGAGUACCUGAAAAAAAAGCAUCGGCUAACUCCGUGCCAGCAGCCGCGGUAAUACGGAGGAUGCGAGCGUUAUCCGGAUUUAUGGGGUUUAAGGGGUGCGUAGGCGGAAUAUCAAGUCAGAGGUAAAAGUUCGGGGCUCAACCCGGUCGUGCCGUUGAAACUGAUGUUCUUGAGUGGGCGAGAAGUAGGCGGAAUGCGUGGUGUAGCGGUGAAAUGCAUAGAGAUCACGCAGAACUCCGAUUGCGAAGGCAGCCUGCCAAGCCAUGACUGACGUUGAUGCACGAAAGCGUGGGGAUCAAACAGGAUUAGAUACCCCUGUAGUC
rnacentral:rRNA from 1 species